GGGGAGGAGAAAACACCCCCUUGGUGUGUUACACCCCCCUUUAAGGAAAAGCCUCUCUCUUGGGAAGAAGAAGCCCCGGGUUAUAUCUCCGGCCCCAACAGCCCGGUGUUAAUACGGGGAGGGCCCAAGCUUUUAUUGGAAUUUUCGUGGGAGAAAAGCGCGGGUUAGGUGGCUUUAAUAACCCGGUUUGAAAAACCCCCGGGGCUCAACCUGGGAAUGGCAUCCGGAACUGUCAGGCUAGAGUGCAGGAGAGGAAGGUAGAAUUCCCCGGUGUAGCGGUGAACUGCGUAGAGAUCGGGAGGAAUACCAGUGGCGAAGGCGGCCUUCUGGACUGACACUGACACUGAGGUGCGAAAGCGUGGGUAGCAAACAGGAUUAGAUACCCUGGUAGUCCACGCCGUAAACGAUGUCGACUAGCCGUUGGGCUCCUUGAGAGCUUUGUGGCGCAGUUAACGCGAUAAGUCGACCGCCUGGGGAGUACGGCCGCAAGGUUAAAACUCAAAUGAAUUGACGGGGGCCCGCACAAGCGGUGGAGCAUGUGGUUUAAUUCGAUGCAACGCGAAGAACCUUACCUACCCUUGACAUCGAGAGAACUUUCCAGAGGUGGAUUGGUGCCUUCGGGAACUCUCAGACAGGUGCUGCAUGGCUGUCGUCAGCUCGUGUUGUGAGAUGUUGGGUUAAGUCCCGCAACGAGCGCAACCCCUGUCCUUAGUUGCCAUCAUUUAGUUGGGCACUCUAAGGAGACUGCCGGUGACAAACCGGAGGAAGGUGGGGAUGACGUCAAGUCAUCAUGGCCCUUAUGGCCAGGGCUACACACGUGCUACAAUGGCUAGUACAAAGGGUUGCCAACUCGCGAGAGUCAGCUAAUCCCGAAAAGCUAGUCGUAGUCCGGAUUGGAGUCUGCAACUCGACUCCAUGGAGUCGGAAUCGCUAGUAAUCGCAGAUCAGAAUGCUGCGGUGAAUACGUUCCCGGGCCUUGUACACACCGCCCGUCACACCAUGGGAGUUGGCUGCAAAAGAAGUAGGUAGACUAACCUUCGGGAGGUCGCUUACCACUUUGUGGUCAAUGACUGGGGCGAAGUCGUAACAAGGUAGCCGUA
rnacentral:rRNA from 1 species